rnacentral:rRNA from 1 species
AGGGAAUAUUGGGCAAUGGGCGAGAGCCUGACCCAGCCAUGCCGCGUGCAGGAAGAAGGCUUUCUGAGUCGUAAACUGCUUUUGACAGGGAAGAAUAAGCACUACGUGUAGUGCGAUGACGGUACCUGCAGAAUAAGCACCGGCUAACUCCGUGCCAGCAGCCGCGGUAAUACGGAGGGUGCGAGCGUUGUCCGGAUUUAUUGGGUUUAAAGGGUGCGUAGGCGGCCCGUUAAGUCCGGGGUGAAAGCCCGCUGCUCAACAGCGGAACUGCCCUGGAUACUGACGGGCUUGAGUACAGACGAGGUUGGCGGAAUGGACUGAGUAGCGGUGAAAUGCAUAGAUACAGUCCAGAACCCCGAUUGCGAAGGCAGCUGACUAGGCUGUUACUGACGCUGAGGCACGAAAGCGUGGGGAGCGAAC